GACGAACGCUGGCGGCGUGCCUAAUACAUGCAAGUCGAACGAGAGCGACCGGUGCUUGCACCGGUCAAUCUAGUGGCGAACGGGUGAGUAACACGUGGGUAACCUGCCCAUCAGAGGGGGAUAACAUUCGGAAACGGAUGCUAAAACCGCAUAGGUCUUCGAACCGCAUGGUUUGAAGAGGAAAAGAGGCGCAAGCUUCUGCUGAUGGAUGGACCCGCGGUGCAUUAGCUAGUUGGUGAGGUAACGGCUCACCAAGGCCGUGAUGCAUAGCCGACCUGAGAGGGUGAUCGGCCACAUUGGGACUGAGACACGGCCCAAACUCCUACGGGAGGCAGCAGUAGGGAAUCUUCCGCAAUGGACGCAAGUCUGACGGAGCAACGCCGCGUGAGUGAAGAAGGUUUUCGGAUCGUAAAACUCUGUUGUUAGAGAAGAAUAAGUGCUAGAGUAACUGUUAGCGCCUUGACGGUAUCUAACCAGAAAGCCACGGCUAACUACGUG
rnacentral:rRNA from 1 species